UGCUGCAAACUGGAAGAGACAAAGGAGAAAUAACAGCUGGAUGCAAUCUGAGAUCUUAGACAAGAUCCUGGAACAGACAGGGAAAAACAUUUGUGUUAAAAUGGGUGAAAUUAGAAAAAGGCCUGUAGUUGAGUUAAUUAUAUUGUACCAAAUGUUCAUUUUCAUCACUUGAUAAUUGUACUAUGGUUAUGUUUCAAAAAAUAAAAUGAUGUUGCUUAUGUAAAACAAUUCUUUAUGAAAUGUAGUAUAGUGGUUAAGAGCAUCUUUUCUGUAUUCAAACCCUAGCCAGUGGUUCAUCUAUGUCAGGAAGCCAUUGGGUUUCAUCUGCCAAAAGAUGCCCUCAUCAAAGACACCAAUCACCAAGGGGAACAGCUGUGUUCCUGCUGUCACCAUGAUAAAUUGUGGCCCAGUAUUGCCAGAUCUCCCAAUUUUGCAAGAAUCUUGGCUUUUUAUAAGAAAACUCCCAACUUCUAAAUGUUGGUAAAUAGUUCAAAAAUGUAAAGCAUCCUGGUUCUAAGACUACAAAUGCCAAACCCCAAAAGCGA
rnacentral:lncRNA from 1 species